rnacentral:rRNA from 1 species
CUCUCCCAUUGGAUAACCGUGGGAAAUCUAGAGCUAAUACAUGUAGUUAAUUGGCAUAUCGCAAGGUAUGUCAAAGCAUUUAUUAGAUUAAACCAUCUACUACUCUGUAGUAAGACGAAUCUAGAUAACUUUGCUGAUCGUAUGGCCUCGUGCCGGCGACGUUUCAAUUGAGUUUCUGCCCUAUCAACUUGUUGGUAAGGUAUUGGCUUACCAAGGUUGCAACGGGUAACGGGGAAUCAGGGUUCGAUUCCGGAGAGGGAGCCUGAGAAACGGCUACCACAUCCAAGGAAGGCAACAGGCGCGCAAAUUACCCAAUCUAGACAGUAGGAGGUGGUGAAGAGAAUUACUAAGUGGUGGUUCAAUGAACUACCAACUUGGAAUGGACGUAACUUAAGCAAUUCGUUGAGAAACAACUGGAGGGCAAGUCCUGGUGCCAGCAGCCGCGGUAAUUCCAGCUCCAGUAGUUUGCUUUAAAGUUGUUGCGUUUAAAACGCUCGUAGUUGGAUCACGCAACGGUGUACGGUAAUCUAUUCACUAGUUCAGAAUGUUCGCAGUGUGAAUCGAAAGAUUAGACUAGGACUCUGUUCUGUGAUAGAUAUAAAAGCUGACCACCGUUAAUUGCACGUGAGAUGGAUUGUUGACCUUUAGUGAGUCGGUAAUCCUGUCUUGCGGAGUGUGCCUUGAAUAAAACAGAGUGCUUAAAGCAGGUUUACGCCUGAAUGUUAUAGCAUGGAACGAACAAUAGUGAUCACGUACGUGAUUUUUAAUAGCAAUAGGCCUAUGGUUUGUUGCUGUUGGAGUCGCGUACAUCACCCACCAAAAUAUGGCUGUUGGUUCCAUAUACGGUGAUGAUUAAAAGGAGCGGUUGGGGGCAUCGGUAUUUGGCCGCGAGAGGUGAAAUUCUUGGACCGGCCAAGGACUAACAAAUGCAAAGGCACUUGUCUAGACCGUUUCCAUUAAUCAAGAACGAAAGUGGGAGGUUCGAAGACGAUCAGAUACCGUCCUAGUUCCCACUGUAAACUAUGCCGACCUGGGAUCAGUUUAGAGAUGCUACAAGCUCUAAAUUGGUCCCCCUGGGAAACCUCAAGUUUUUCGGUUACGGGGAGAGUAUGGUCGCAAGGCUGAAACUUAAAGGAAUUGACGGAAGGGCACCACCAGGGGUGGAGCCUGCGGCUUAAUUUGACUCAACACGGGGAAACUUACCUCCCCAGGAACAUCAAGGGCAACACAGACUGAUAGAUCUCUGUUGAUGCGAUGAGUGGUGGUGCAUGGCCGUUCUUAGUUCGCAGAGUGAUCUGUCAGCUUAAUUGCGGUAACGAACGAGGACACAGUUUACACGUACGGCAUCGAAAAAGAUAACUUAUUGUGUAGGACUUGUCCUUAUCAGUAGGUUGUUGUUGGCUCGAAGAGCGAUCGUAUGGUGACGGUUCUGCGGAGCAAUCUAUCGAGGCGAAGCUGUACGGGGAGCUUUUUGCUUUGUAUGAAGCAGUAAUUGGUUUGACAGAGUUGCUGCCGAACGGAGAGCCAACAAGGUACAACACGCUCGCACG